rnacentral:tRNA from 1 species
UAUGUUAUGGUGUAGGAGCACAUAAGAUUUUGAGUCUUAAAGAUGAUGGAAUUAAACCCGUAGAACAUAA